AUAAAAAUUAAAAAUUAAAAAAAUGGCCUCUCAUAAGUGAGUUCAAAGGGGCUGAGCUUAAUGGGUUCCCUAGGGGUAAGCAUAUCUGCAACAGGCCUGGUCCUUGACACAGUUAAGUGAGAACUCUUAGAGUGUGUAGUUCAUCUUUUCUACUUUGCCCAAGGAUUAGGUGGGCCAGGCAGAAUGGGGGUGGUAAGUGAUUUUGAGGGCUUCUGCUAUUUGCUAUGUCAUAUAAAAGUGGUACUAUGUAAGUGGCACUCGGGAGUGAGUGAGGUAGACAAAAAAGAGGGAUGAUUUUUUUAGAAGUGCUUUAGUUACUCCUUGGACCCUUUCACUCAGUUCAAGAGUAACCUUCCACACAAUUAAUAAAGGUAGCUACAAGGACCAGGAGUAGCUUGCAGCCCUUGGCAUGGGGGCAUGUCCACCUGCCAGUCUUCCCUGGGAUAUGUGCCCCUCCUCUGAACCAGGGGAGGCUCCCUCAGGGAUGACUUUGGCACAGGUAUGGCAGAUUCACAAUCUCCCUUAGUUUGUUUCUGGUAAAAAUGGGUUUUAUGAGGGAGUGAGGUGCUUCUUCCCCAGGGGUUGCUUGAUGGAGGCAGCGAAGGAGCUUCCUCUGGGCCUCUUCAGGAACAAGCAGUUGUCCUGUGGGGGCUUGGUUACCACCCUGAGAGGUUAAGCGUAUAUCCAUUUUCACAAGCCAGGGCUUCCUGGAGAUGAUAGACUGGGAUGUAAGAUCUCAGAAUCUGGGGUGGCAAGGCAGGGAAUACAGAUUGUGGAAUCUGCAAAUUGGUUGUCUAUGGCCUGAAGAGGCCCUUUUGAUGGCCUUAAUAAAAAGUGACAGAUUUUUGUGGGUCCACGAACAACUCCAAGCAAAUGUAAAAUCUCUCUGGGAUGCUUAACGGGAAUAUUUGCUUGUUAGGCGUCCUUCCUGACAUUCCAUAAGUGUUCCAUGAGUGUACCUCCCAUGUAUAGUUGGAGUCUGUAUAGAUGGAGUCUUUAGCUGCAGGGCUCUGGUAAGAACAAUGAGUUCUGCCUUCUAGGCAGAAGUCUCUGGGACUAGAAGCUUGGCAUCUAUGGUGCUGACGAGACUAACCACAAAGUAAUCUGCCUUCUUCUCUUCUCCCUCAAGAAAGCUAAAUGCUUCUUAUGUAUAUUUUUGUCAAGAGGAAAAUUCAUAAGGUCCAGGAAACUGGAGUGGACCAAGUCAACAGUCUCCUCACAGUUAUGGAUUAUGUCCCCAGAGUCUUUAGUGACAGAAAUCAGGAUUUAGAGCUGGAUUUAAAGUAUGGUACACCUGAAGGGUUAGGUCAGGGGUCUCAAGGAGAAGGACUUGCUAUUUGGUAAGCCUGCCUCCGGACAAUCAACAAUGGCCCUUGGACUCUAAAAAGCUUAGGAUGGGGUUGAACUUGAAGGGGUUGGCCAAGAAUUAGUGUGGUGGUUUCCUCAAUCAGAAUGGCUGUGGCAGCCACUGCCUGGAACUAUCCAGAGGCAACAGAAUCUAGUUGUUUAGAAAAGUAAGCUAUAAAUCCUGGGCUAGGUUCUAGGGACUGAUUUAAAACCCCUAAGACUUGACCCUGCCUCUCAUCAACAUACAAGGUUCGUCUAGAUAGGUCAGGGCUAAGGCAGGAGUGCUGGUCCAUUUGGCUUUAGGGUCUUAAAAGUCUUACCCUUACCCUGGUCAGUUCCUCAUUCUAGAGGAAGCUAGUUAGGGCCCUGAAUAGAGUCAUAGAAAGGCUUUGCAAUAAUACCCAUAUUGGGAAUCCAGAUUUGACAAGAUCCAGCUGUGCCCAGAAAGCAGUUGUUUUAUAGGAGCUGGGACAGGUAAUUAUAUCUACCUAUUUUCUUUCUGUGAUUAAAUGGUGAGAGGUGGAAGUUAGUUCAUGACCUAAAUACUUUACAGAUUGACAAAUAAUUAGGCCUUAGUCAAAGAAACUCGAUAGUCCUGGAUACCCAGGAAGUUGAAGAUCUGUCUACCAGUAGCCCUGGGUCAGGCUACAGAUGAGAACAUUAUCCACAUACUGGAUUAGACUAUUAUUGCUCACUAUAGAUCCCUCAUAUCUUUUCUUAAAGCCUGACCAAAUAUGUAGGGAUGAUCUUCAAAGCCUUGGGACAGGACUGCAGAUUUGAUUUCCCUGGAAGUGUCCAUUCAAAAGCAAAAAUAAGCUGGGAUUUUUCAUAAAGUGGGAUUCAGAAGAAAGCAACCUUGAGAUCCAGGGUGGAAAACCAUUGAGUAUCCUCUGGGAUCUGAGUAAGGAUGGUGUUAGGUUAAGUAUUAUGAUAUGGGUGGGGAUGACAGCUGUAAUAACAGCUUUUACCUCCUGUACUAUGUGAUAUGUUCCAUUUGGCUUCUUAACUGAAAAGAUGGAGCUAUUACAGGAAGACUGGCAUGAAAAUGAAUGGUUUAAUAUUUGAGAAACUUCUCAAUGGGAUAGUGCACCUUCCUGAGUCUCAGGUUUGAUUGUGUCAAUGGGGAAAAACAACAGAAUCCUAGAGGUGGACACAUCCUGGGGCAGCAUGGAUCACAUAACUGGGAAUCCUUAGUCCCAGAUUGAUUACCAAAUCUCAUAUGGAACACUGAUGAAUCUGGUGAUUAGUGAAAACUGUUGUAGAUGGAUCCCUAUUUUUACUAUUAGACUUUAUCUCAGCAACAGAGCUGGGCAAGAGGGGAGGACAAGAAAAGAAUAAACAAAAGAUCCUCAAAUUAGGAUGGAGGGAAUGACUCAAGACAUUUUCUAAGUUUUCCCUCAAUCCCCAUGACUUGAUAAUGGGACUAGGGUCUGGGGCUGGAGUGCUAGGGUAGGACAGAGUCAGUGGCUCCCAUAUCAGUUAAGAAAAUCAAUAGUCUUACCUGCCACAUCCAUAGUUUUCCUGGGUUCAGCCAUGGUGGUGAAGCAAGAGGGAGCCUCGCUAAAUCCUGGGGCUCACCCGAAGUCCUGGAGAGACAUGGGUGGCUGGUGAGGGGAAGAAAUCGCUCGACUUCCCUGAGGGCAGUCUCUAUUCCAGUGUCCUUCUUGACCAUAUGUAGGGUAUGGCUUUGCAGGCCUUCUGAGGGCAUUCACAAGACCAAUGACUUUUCUUAUAGCACUGGAAGCACAAACCCUGGCUGCAAGUCUUGUGGGCAGGAUUCUUUUGGGCACUGGAUAUGGUGACAGCUAAAAUUUAAGUCUGUUCUCUGUUCCUGGCCUUAGCCCUCAGUGCUUUUUCUCUGUAGUAGCUUGGUCCCAAAAGGUUACAUAUCCCAAAAACUGUCUCUAAAAUGUGAGCCUGAGGGGAUUGGAGGCCCAUGGCUAAUUUUUGUAGCUUGGGGGUCCAUCGCUAAUUUUUGUAGUUUUCUCUGAAUAUAUAGGGCCAACAGUUAAUAAAAUGCAAACCAAGAAUCAUGGGGAAAGUGGGAUUCAAGUUGGUAUAUUUUUAAAGUGACUCAACUAGCCUGCCCUGAAAAAGGGUGAGGCUUUCCUCAGAUCCCUGAGUUAAAAAUUUCUCAUAGUUUACUUAUUUGUUAAUACUCUUUUUCAUGCCAUCAGUGAAGCAGGUUAACAUAUGGUCUCUCUUUUCUGGUCAGGGCUAUCUUCCUGAUAAUCCCAGCCAGGAUCAGACAUUGGGCUAAUGCUCCUGAGCGGGGGUACCUACCCAUUCAAGUAGUCUGGGCCAUCCCUGAAUUUUUAAGCUGUUCUCUUCUUAACAAAGAGAAAUAAUGAUAUUGAUAUCCCCCCAUGUAAGGUCAAGUUGGAGGACUACAGCCUUAACCCUCAAUAUAUUUAGUGGGAUCUUCUGAAUAAUGACUUAGUUUUUCUUUUACUUAGAAGAGAUCUGACAUGCAAAAGGGACCAUGAACCUUAUUAAUUCCCUCUCUACCAUUUGCAACCUCUUUCAAUGGGCAAAUUUUUGAGGGGGGUUAGGUUAGGGAAAGCAAGAGGCUCCUGGUCCCCUUAUUCCAGGAGCUAAGGAUCAGGAGUCCUGGAGGCUUAAGGGUAGAGGCUCUGGAUGAGAAGUAAGAAAAGGGAAUACUAUGAGAGGGAGUGGGUUUCUGGAUAAGGAUUGCUCACAGAAGUGGGAAAAGGAGCUGCUGCUGCUUUAGAGCAGAAAGGAGAGGUUCCUUUAAUAGAUCUGGCUCAUUUCCUUCCCUCUCUUUUUCCUGUUUAAAUUUUGCCAAAAAAAACAUUCCGUAUUGCUGCCUCAGAGUGGAGUUCUGUGAAAGAGCCAUGAAAGCCUGAUAUAUGAGACUUUAGUCAAUUUUCCUUUGAGGUGGCAAAAAAGCAUCAAGUAGCAGAAGGGUUUUAUUAUUAAGGGACCUAAGAACAGGCCAUUUUUUUGGUCUUCUUGGACCUCCAGGGCUUUUUAAAUUUUUCCACUGGCAACCCCUUUUCACUUGAGAAAAUUUUAUGUGACACUAGGUAUGCAGAGAUAUAAGACAGAUAUUUAAAUAAAUAUUUAUUGAUAUUAAAUCAUAAAUUUUCAACCUUCACAUUCAGUUACAUGAUCCCAUUUGAGAUUAUGACCCACAAUUUGAGAAACUUUGCUCUAGGUUAUGUUGAGACCAUGCAAUAUUGCAGAAGAAUUUAAGACACUUUUUUUAAGGUCUCACAACCCAUUAUACUGUAAGCCCAGAUAACCAGAUUUUCCUUUAAGGCAUUCAUCUCCACACCUAGCAUCCUGUGGGGAGAGAGGAGGCACAAAAUCCUCAAAUAGAAUGUAUUUUGUCAAGAGAAGACUUGUUGGACACUAGAAGCCAGAAAACUUCCCUUUUCCCCUCUUCAUCUGGCAACUGGGGGUGCCAACUCUAACUUUGCAUUAGAGUUGAAGUUGAGCGCUUUCCUGUGGGGACCACCAAAACGCUGAGCUUUGGGACACGUAUCCGUGUGUUGUCUUUGAAAGAAUUCAAGCUGAGUCUCCAAAUCAAGUAAAGGCAUUUGUUUGGGGUAACACACCCAGUGGGCACUCCUCCUUACGGGAUGCAGCAGCCCAGAGAGAAAGGAGGCUUAUAUAGAAAAGAGAGAGUAAGAAAAACAGGAGAUUUGGGCAAAAUCGGAAAACUGGACAAUCUCAAAUAAGUUUGGGAGAGAUUUGACAUUGAAAGAGGCACCUCUGCUCUGAGUGUCCCUGAGAAUCUGCUGCUUCUUCCAGGGGGCAGAGAUUAAAAUCAGCAUCCUGAGGAGGAGAAGAAAGGCUGGGAGUCUCAGGAUUUGGUUCAGGGAAGGAGGAAGAACAAGAAAACUCAUGACUUGAGGUCUACAUCUUUGGCCACGCUCCUGGAGCUGAAUUUCUGGCUUUUCUAACCCUUCAUCUUAUAUUAUCUUCUGCCUUGAGGACCAAAGUUCAGUAGUGCAUCAAAUUCCUCAAUUGACUCCCUUUGCCAAGUAAGAACUUGUUGACCAAGAGGGGAUAAAUGUUAAAUGCAACUGAUUUCAGACCUGUGAAUUGCCCGAGGCCAAUCAAAAUCAAUUAAAAAAGGACUAUCCCAAAACCAAUUCAAAAAGAAAAAAAAAAGAAAAAAAGAGACCACCUUCAGACCAAUUGUUACUACUCCUGAACCUACCUGGCCUUCUCUAUGGAUUUUCAGUUGUUACACAAAACAAAUUACCUAACAGCUUCUCAAGGAUGUGGCUCUCAUGAGACUCCCUCCCUCUUGAAAUGUAUUUAACCCUGCCUCCUCUCACCUGCCCCCUUGGGUACUCCAGGACUUCUGUGCUAUGAUGACUCCAAAUUGCAAUUCUCUUGCCUUCAUUAAAGAUCCUCCUAGUUUUUGUUA